ACUUCCCACGCUGCCCACUUGGGGAAGGUAGAAAAUAAGCUGUACCAUUAACCAGCUCUGUACUGGCUUCUCCUGCCACUUCUGCUCAGGUAUGACGCACCUGGGUGAAAGUUUUGUUAACAACUCAUGAGGUAAAUGGAGUCCCCCCUUCCAUUUGUGGCCUGGAAUUAUUUGUGUGAGAAGGCUGCAGCUAUUACAAUGUCAGAUGGGCUGAACAACACUCUUUAUAAAGAUGGAUACAGGCCUGAAGCGAGACAAGUCACCGAACACAUGAAGUAGAGAGCCUUUCCACCAAACCUAUCCAAGAGGUGUCCAACAACAGGCUGUUACUGUGAAGGAGAUUGACUGCCACCCCCAGAACCUGCCAUAGUUGUAUAAAAUUGAUGACAUGAAACAAGCCAAUUCGGGCAAGUUCUGCAAGAUUCAGCAUGAACUGGAUGAGGCAGAGCAGAGGGCUGAUAUCGCUGUCUCAGGUCAACAAGAUGAGAGCUAAUAGUCGUGAUGCUGGUUCCAAGAAGGUCUCCCAAUGCAAGAGGCUGGACCUGCAUCAGUGAGUCACAUGGAGGAGAGAUUGAUGAUACAUACAAAUAAGGUAAAUACCACACAGUAACUGUCUGCAUCCAAACAGAACACUUAUGUCAUCCUGUUAAUUGCUAAUAAGCCAUAGUGCGGCGCUUUCCAACAGCCAGUAACUCCAUAGGGAGAUCAAAAACAUU